UGUGUCAGGCUCAGUGUGAUUGUGCCUCAGUGUUAAUACCUUACAUUGGCAUCUACUGAGGGGUUAAGAUUGACUUUCUUUUUAGUUAAUAGCAAUGCAUCAGAGUCACUAGAACUUGGAUGCAUAAUGCAGUACAAGAACUCCUUUUCUGUGACACUGUUCAUUUGGAUUCCCGCAUGCUUUGUCACACUGUAAAGCCCCCUCAUCCUGGCAUAACCAAGAACUGAAUACUCUUGCCUGACUUUUUACAACAAUAGAUUUACUAAAGGAUAGAAGAUCAAGAUACACUGCAAAGUCACCUGAACUGACCCCUUGAAGACACCUGUGCUUUGUGGAAUCUGCAGAUAGCACAGAAUUACCACCUUCUGGCACAGGUGGGAUGGUUAUAGGAGAGGUGAUCUCUGGCUACUGCAAGGUUCCAGGCUUGUGCAAAGUGAAGAUCAAUAGAACCAGAGGAUCUGCCCAUAGUGUUGAUGGGAUGAAGGCAAUUCAAACACUGCACAGUUUAUGGAGCAGGAAAGAUUUGUAAAGUCUGCAGGAUAACCUCCCACAGCCCAUUCAUUUUUGUUUGUGAGUGAAAGGAGAAUUGGGCCCAGUAUAUAUCACCUCUGCAUUUGAACAAAAUAAUAUUGUGGGGGGCCACUAAAACCAAAUUGUUUAAGGUCUGCAGAGAAGGUGAAGUGGUGCAGGUUCAGUUAGAAAACAAUGCCCUAUGAUAAAGUCAACAGCAUGCAGAGCACUGAGGAAUAAGCCUUUACUUAGGCUAUAGAUGGCUACACUACAGCACUUACAGUGGCACAGCUGCAUUAGUGUAAUGCUGUUAGUGCAGCUGCUCUAAGCUGAGAGGAGAAAGCUCUCCCAUUGGUUUAAUUAGCCCCCAUGAGCAGGCAGCGGUGGUUAUGACAUAGCACUGUUAGGCAAGAGUUAAAACUUAAGUUAGCAGUUGAGGCAGAAACCCACAUAACAAGCAGAAAUACCAGAGGCCCAAGGACAAUGGCUGCUGUAAACACCCGAUAAUUUAAGUGGUCAGAUGUCUGCCCAGCAACUCGGCCUCUCUAAGGAAGAACAGUACAAGCCUUCCACAGCUCUCCAGAUAUCUGAACACUCACCCCUCCCCUUCAGGAUAGUCAUAGAUAAUUGAUAUAAUCAGAAUGGUUUCUAUGCAUAUGUUCUGCUCCUGUCAUUAUGUUAAGUGAUGUUCUCUCUCAGAAACAAUGUUUGUCUCUGUAA